UUUUUUUUUUUUCAUUUUCUUCUGAAAUUUUUCAGGGAUUCUUGUUGUUGAAGGUUGAUGAAGAUGAUAUGAAGAUGAAAAAGAGGAGAAG
rnacentral:pre_miRNA from 1 species